GUUUAUUCUAUUCUAAAAUUUCAAUUCGAGUACUCGGAGCAUGUAGCUAUGAAGAUAAAACUUUUGUUAAAACGCAAAGCAAAUUAUCCUGAAAAUUGAGAAAGGGUAUUGGUUCAAGGUUUUCCCUUUUUUAUUCUUCUUUAGGGAAGCGCAUGUAAAUAUUUCUUAAUUUCGGCAUCAAAGUGACGUGGGCGUCUAUUUAGAGCCGGUGAAUAACGAGCAACUGCGAAAUUUGCAACUCUGCUUCAACAAAUUUUGGAUGUGAUAGUAACAUGUAAACAGUUGCAUAACAGUUAGAACAAGUCAUCGCUAUAUUAAUAUUAAGAGAUAGUGGUAUGAUCUCACGGCUAUUUUAAGAUCUAGGACGCUAUGUUUGACGCAUAAAAACGCUGCUGAUGUCUUUCGACCUUCAGUGAGAGAAAAAGAGCUAAUACACGCUAUUUAUAUUACACCAAAGUUUAUUUUGACUGCGCUAGAAAGCUGAACGGAAUAAAAACUCAUCGGUAAGAUUGCGUGACAUGCUCCAUCAGCCAGGUGUAACGCGCCAGCCAUCAUAACAAUAAAGACUGGCGGAGACGUUAUAAAAUCUGAGACAGCUAAGCUAAACAACACGGCGGAGAGGAAUGUCGUCUCAACUUGAACAAUUCUUUCUCGUCGGUUUGAUGUUAUUGGCUACUGUGGAAAACGAUGGUUAUUUUGGGAUUUUAGCACAUGAUGGCCCUCAAAUAUUAAAUGAAGUCAAGAGUCCAUUACAGUUAACCGAAUAGAUCAUUUUGAUUCCAGUACAAGCUCUCAAGUGCUAUACUUGCAGCACGGACCGUAGAACCGACAGCACUGGAUGUAAAGAGAACCUGGUCACGUGUUCCGAGUCAGAUGCCGUGUGCAGCAAACACUUUUUUAAAUACGCGGAAACCGUGAGAAAAUCCUGCUCCACAAGCGAAGCCUGCGCGGUCAAAACAAAAGAAUGUGAGGGGGGAGACUCGUGUGUGCACUACUGCUGCACAGGAGACAUGUGUAACGCGGGCGCACAUUUCAGCUUGCACUAUUCGUUCCCAGUCUUAUUAAUGAUCGCGAUCAACGUGAAUUGCUGAUGGCUCAUACCGCGAAUACACAAACAUACAACAGUGCAAAUGGCAAUGUCAAUUUGGGGCUCUACUAUGAAAAUAUAUCUUGGACCUUGCCAUAUUACUUCUGAACGAUGAAAAAAAAACGAAGAAUCAUGCGAUUAGUUUAUCGUUAUUCUUGUCGGCCUUGGACAAGAAUAACGGUAAACUACAAGAAUUGCCAUCCGCUGUUUGCACUGACAACGAUCUUAGAAACACGAGCAGCCCUCGGUUCAGCCCAAGGAACUGAUUGCAGGCGUGAUAUGACAUUGAACAAAUAUAACAAGAGAAAUAAUAGGAACAGAUACCGAAAAAAGCAAUUUCUCGCUCCAUUUCAAAAUGGCUUUCAGUCUGUGAAUCCGAAACAAGGCUCUUCAAAUGAUAAUGCUUCUAAAUAAUCGCAAAAUGUAUAAAUAAUAAGUUAACGUUUUUUUUUUGCAGAUAAAAGUGUGAAAAUUUGA